GAUGAACGCUAGCGGCAGGCUUAAUACAUGCAAGUCGAGGGGCAGCAUGAAUGUAGCAAUACAUUUGAUGGCGACCGGCAAACGGGUGCGGAACACGUACACAACCUUCCUAUAAGUGGGGAAUAGCCCAGAGAAAUUUGGAUUAAUACCCCGUAACAUAAUGAUGUGGCAUCACAUUAUUAUUAUAGCUUUGGCGCUUAUUGAUGGGUGUGCGGCUGAUUAGAUAGUUGGCGGGGUAACGGCCCACCAAGUCUACGAUCAGUAGCUGAUGUGAGAGCAUGACCAGCCACACGGGCACUGAGACACGGGCCCGACUCCUACGGGAGGCAGCAGUAAGGAAUAUUGGUCAAUGGACGCAAGUCUGAACCAGCCAUGCCGCGUGAAGGAUUAAGGUCCUCUGGAUUGUAAACUUCUUUUAUCUGGGACGAAAAAAGGCUAUUCUUAGUCACUUGACGGUACCAGAUGAAUAAGCACCGGCUAACUCCGUGCCAGCAGCCGCAGUAACAC
rnacentral:rRNA from 1 species